GGAAGUUAUAAAUAGGAACAAAAGACAAGUGGAAACAGAACAAUUGAUUGGCAUUCCUGAAAAAAUGUCCGAAGAAAAUUUGAUGUUGGGAUUGAUUAAGGGAUUUGCCAGCCUACAAAAUGUUACCCAAAUUACUGCUUGUUUGCCGAUACCAAGAGCAGUAGGGGAAUCUGUUCCUUGGGAAAUUUUAACUAUGAAUUUAACUACCUUAGAACAUAGAAACAAAACCACCUAUUGCAAACAAAGGCCAGUGACUAAAUGGUCUGAACAAGUAAAGGUCAUUAGAAAACAAUGGAAAUGGAUGGGUAGAGAAGAAGAUUGUCUGAAAUUAUCAAAUCAUCAAUUUACACCAGCCUCUUCUAUAGGAGACAUGUUUAUAGUGGGCAGCCCUAUGGGUUGGUGUUCAUAUGAUGUACGAAUCAAUACUAAUGAGAGCCGGAGCAUUAUGAAAUGGAAAUGUGGAGAGGCCAAUCAAACCGUACCAGAAGAAAAAACAGUUAGCUGGGAUUCAGUAUGGUCCAUGGCCAUAUGGUCUCAAUUUCAAUAUAUGGCCAAAACUUCUUGGUGCUUUACUUGAGA